GCAACAGAAGUUUGGCAGACCAAGUUCUACUCAAACCUACAUAAUGCCAUGAUCUAUUAUGGGGCUGCUGAAGAAGGACUGUUGGCAGAAUAUGGCCUUCACACCAUUUUAAGAGCUGCUCUGUUAAAACAUAUGUCAGAAUAAGAUGAGUUACUAGAUUUUGAACUUCUGCGAUCUGCUUGGCUUGACCAUACCAUGAUGCAUAAACCUUAAGACAGAGUUGGUACAGUCUUCACCAGCAAUGUCUCCUUGAAUGGCCUCCACAAUGAAUGCUAAUUAAAAAAAGUUCUCAAGCUGCAGAGAUACCAGCAGAAAAAAAGCAGGGAUCAAUUUUAAAGACACUGGGGAAAAUAGUGAAAAACUGAGAAACCCAUAGCUGCCCAAGAGCUACUCCCAAAGCCUACUGGAACAUAACCAAAGUAUCAGUGAGGAUGAAUGGUAUUUUACCAAUCAACUGCACAUCAAGCUGUGAUGUCUCAAAGUUGCUAUUUUAUGUUUGAGUCCUAAGAGGACUUCUGAUGAACAUGCUCUACAUUUGCAGUGAAGCGGUAAACAAAAUCAGGUACGUAGGAUGUAUGCUG